rnacentral:sRNA from 1 species
ACGCGUCGAGCCAGCGCUGGCACACCUC